rnacentral:rRNA from 1 species
UACGUAGGGGCUAGCGUUAUCCGGAAUUACUGGGCGUAAAGGGUGCGUAGGUGGUUUCUUAAGUCAGAGGUGAAAGGCUACGGCUCAACCGUAGUAAGCCUUUGAAACUGGGAAACUUGAGUGCAGGAGAGGAGAGUGGAAUUCCUAGUGUAGCGGUGAAAUGCGUAGAUAUUAGGAGGAACACCAGUUGCGAAGGCGGCUCUCUGGACUGUAACUGACACUGAGGCACGAAAGCGUGGGGAGCAAACAGGAUUAGAUACCCCUGUAGUCACUGAG